GGCGCGCGGGUGAGCGAGCAAGCAAGCCAAGCCGAGCCAAGGGGUG
rnacentral:ribozyme from 1 species